rnacentral:siRNA from 1 species
UAAUCUGUUCCUUGAUCGCUGC